UCGUUGUUGUCUUUGAGUAAUCUAAUUCUCUAUUAUGGCUUUUCAGUUGCGACAACUUAUAUUCAAGUGUGUUCACCUUCUGAUAUAUGUUACCCUGUUUUUUAUUGCUAAGCUGUAGGCUGUGAACCUUCAAACGAUGCAUUAGAUGGGGCGACAGUGCACAAACCACAUGCACGCUUAUCCACAAUCGAUAAUGACGUGAUCGAUAGUGGCUCAUCAUUGAACUAAUGUCAUUAUUGGCCUUUUAAUAAUCCCGGGUACAACUCUACAGAAUUCCCAAACCCGGUUGUAGAGCAUCAUGAAGCUACAUUAUCGGCCCCAAGUAUACUAACAACACAAUCUUGCACAGAUGGUAAUGGUACUUACUCAUCUGCAAUUAUGAUGACAAGAAUCAUAGCUCCAUGUAUUUUCUCCUAAAUAACAUUGUGAAUAUUUUCCUACUUGUAUCAACUCUACGGUUGGAUCAUUAUCACAACUGGCUGGGGAUCAGCAUGAUUCUUCGUUGUUUUCUUUGAGUAAUCUAAUUCUCUAUUCUGGCAUUUCAGUUGCACUGACUUAUAUUCAAGUAGGUUCACCUUCAUUUACAUGUUACCCUGGUUUUUUUUGCUAAGAUGUAGGCUAUGAACCUCCAAACGAUGCAUUACAUGGGGCGACAGUGGUAAAAGGUAUGCACAUGCACGCUUCUCCACAAUUGAUACUGACAUGAUCGGUAGUGGCUCAUCAUUUAACAUAUGUGUUUUCUGCACUAUCUGGUUAGUAGUUAUUAAUUUUGACAUGAUGCAAACUAUGUCAAUUGCAUAGACUACGCUGAGACAACAAAGGAGCAGUUCAACGCACAAAGGCGUGGUGCUUAUCGAAAAAGGACCAGGAUACUGUGUUGUUGCGAGAGGUUCAUCAGCCCUCCUAGACAAAUUCUGGUGAGUUCUUUAACAUGACUGUGCUGACUAAGAUUUGCAUUUGGUAUGAAUGUGAUAUAAGUGAGUUGUCAAACUAACCUUAAUAGAAAAGUGGGCCUUAUUUCAUUCACUAACUACUAUACAAUCGAUUCAUUUUGUAGAUCAUAGGGAACUUAACAACGCGUGGAGGCAAGCAUCUUAUCGCAUUAGCAAGACAGAAAAUUUGAAAAAACAACAAAACGAUGUGCACAUCGUUCAACGACGUACCCUAGGUGAUAUCACGAACGCUCGUCAACCUACUACUGCGAUAGCAGGUACAUCAGCUACUCAUGGUAUAUAUAAGAGCAAGGUCAUAGUACCGUUGAUAUAUGAAGUCAGAAUACUCACCACGCAUGUUGAACUAGAUGAGUUGAUUGAGACCAAAGAGAAUCUGCAUAGAACGGAAGAAGAUCGCAAAAGAGACCAUAGAAACGCGCUGAGGAGAGCAUCUUAUCAGCGGAAAAAGGAUCGGGAUCUGCAAGAAGAGAAUUUCCGGGCCCUUAAUUUAUCUGGUAGGAUUUAAAUCUUCUAACCAAUAUUAAGAGUACUAGUAGACUAAAGUUUUUACCAAUAAUUAUGAGUAUGUAUUAUUAACAUCUUGCUACCAGACAACCCAUAUAGCUCCGACUAUAUAACAUUGGUGAAUAAUGAAACAGUUUUCACUGCUACAACUACGGUCACAUCUGGUCUGGUUUAUGACAAUACUUUUAAAG
rnacentral:lncRNA from 1 species